GGCUCGUUAGCUUAGUUGGUUAGAGCGCCACGCUCAAUAAGUGGAGGUCGUAGGUUCGAUCCCUACACGAGCCC